AUUGAACGCUGGCGGCAUGCCUUACACAUGCAAGUCGAACGGCAGCGGGCCUUCGGGUGCCGGCGAGUGGCGAACGGGUGAGUAAUGCAUCGGAACGUGCCAUUGAGUGGGGGAUAACGUAGCGAAAGUUGCGCUAAUACCGCAUAUUCUGUGAGCAGGAAAGCAGGGGGACCGCAAGGCCUUGCGCUCUUUGAGCGGCCGAUGUCAGAUUAGCUAGUUGGUGAGGUAAAGGCUUACCAAGGCGACGAUCUGUAGCGGGUCUGAGAGGAUGAUCCGCCACACUGGAACUGAGACACGGUCCAGACUCCUACGGGAGGCAGCAGUGGGGAAUUUUGGACAAUGGGGGCAACCCUGAUCCAGCCAUGCCGCGUGAGUGAAGAAGGCCUU
rnacentral:rRNA from 1 species